rnacentral:rRNA from 1 species
CCUACGGGUGGCAGCAGUGAGGAAUAUUGGUCAAUGGACGAGAGUCUGAACCAGCCAAGUAGCGUGAAGGAUGACUGCCCUAUGGGUUGUAAACUUCUUUUAUAUGGGAAUAAAAUGUUCCACGUGUGGGAUUUUGUAUGUACCAUAUGAAUAAGGAUCGGCUAACUCCGUGCCAGCAGCCGCGGUAAUACGGAGGAUCCGAGCGUUAUCCGGAUUUAUUGGGUUUAAAGGGAGCGUAGGUGGGUUGUUAAGUCAGUUGUGAAAGUUUGAGGCUCAACCGUAGAAUUGCAGUUGAAACUGGCAGUCUUGAGUACAGUAGAGGUGGGCGGAAUGCGUGGUGUAGCGGUGAAAUGCUUAGAUAUCACGAAGAACUCCGAUUGCGAAGGCAGUUCACUGGACUGCAACUGACACUGAGGCUCGAAAGUGUGGGUAUCAAACAGGAUUAGAUACCCCUGUAGUC